UGGGGGAGAAUACGGGUUAGUUCAUCUGUAAAUUUUCAAACCUUCAGAUCUGUGUGCAAAGGAAAAAAUAAUUGAAGUUAUGCGGAUGACAUUAGAAGAACAAGAAGAGACUCAGCUUGAACAAGAUCAAGUGCUAGAAGCUCAAUUUGAAGAGAACGAAAGAUUAGCUUCAGAACUGGAGACAUGGAAACAGAGAUGCAGGGAACUGCAGAACCAGAGCAGUAUUGACCGUCAGCAAAAGGAUGGGGAAAGGGAAGUGGCAAACAUGAAUGGAAACAAUACAGAAUUAAUAAAGCUGCAAAAAGAGCUGAAGGUAACUUAACUUUAAAGUUGUAACUUCAACUUAGGAGACUACUUCUAUCAUGAUAAAGUAAUCUGUUAUAUUGAUGAAGAAACUUCCUGUAAAUCCUGCAGUGCAGUGUGCAGUAAGGACCAGGUACAGCUAGGAAUCCUAACUCAGAAUUUUUUUUUCUUCCAAGCAGUUUCUCAGGUGCUCUAUGCUAUACAUGAGUAUGUCUGACAAUAGGUUUGAUUGCGAUAGAAAAGGACACAAAGUUGUUGUGGAUUGGAGUGACGUCCUUGAGUACACAUUGAGUAAAUUGUGUAAGGUUUCUUUGUCCUUCAACCCUAAAGGAGGUGCAAGUUUUCUAUGUCUCCUGCAAGGCAGCAUAAAAUCUUAGACACUUUUAAGUUAAAAUGGUUUUUCUUUCUGUGACUUUUGGUGUAAGUUCUAUAACGCUUGUGAGAACAUUUAUAAAGAAAAAAAAAAAUGUUCUAUGGAGUCCCUCCGGUCUGAAUGAGAAAGACUGAAAAUUAUUAUUUUUAAAUGGAAAAGAACUGAGGAGUACCCAGUACAUGCACUUGGGAAUAUUCUGUAGUAAGGACUGCUAAUGUUUCUGUGAUCUUGUAGAAACAAGUCUAUUUAACGAUGACCUGGCUUUUAAGACUUUCAUUCCUUGAUGACUUGGUAUUUCAUUUCUGGUUUCUUUGAAAUAGGAAAGUGAGGCCAAGUAUCAAACCGAUAGAAAAAAGUGGCUGGAGGAAAAAGAAGGACUCCUAAAUCAGGUA
rnacentral:lncRNA from 1 species